rnacentral:rRNA from 1 species
AUUGAACGCUAGCGGGAUGCUUUACACAUGCAAGUCGAACGGCAGCGCGGACUUCGGUCUGGCGGCGAGUGGCGAACGGGUGAGUAAUGUAUCGGAACGUGUCCAGUAGCGGGGGAUAACUACGCGAAAGCGUAGCUAAUACCGCAUACGCCCUACGGGGGAAAGCAGGGGAUCGUAAGACCUUGCACUAUUGGAGCGGCCGAUAUCGGAUUAGCUAGUUGGUGAGGUAACGGCUCACCAAGGCGACGAUCCGUAGCUGGUUUGAGAGGACGACCAGCCACACUGGGACUGAGACACGGCCCAGACUCCUACGGGAGGCAGCAGUGGGGAAUUUUGGACAAUGGGGGCAACCCUGAUCCAGCCAUCCCGCGUGUGCGAUGAAGGCCUUCGGGUUGUAAAGCACUUUUGGCAGGAAAGAAACGUCGCGGGCUAAUACCCCGUGGAACUGACGGUACCUGCAGAAUAAGCACCGGCUAACUACGUG